UACAGAGGGUGCGAGCGUUAAUCGGAAUUACUGGGCGUAAAGCGCGCGUAGGCGGCUUUGCAAGUCGGGUGUGAAAUCCCCAGGCUUAACCUGGGAACUGCAUUCGAGACCGCAUUGCUAGAGUAUGGGAGAGGGAAGUGGAAUUUCCGGUGUAGCGGUGAAAUGCGUAGAUAUCGGAAGGAACAUCAGUGGCGAAAGCGACUUCCUGGACCAAUACUGACGCUCAUGUGCGAAAGCGUGGGGAGCAAACAGGA
rnacentral:rRNA from 1 species